rnacentral:piRNA from 1 species
UGAGCCCAAGAUUCUUUAUGGGUGUCUGUG